UAAACUGGUGUUAGGAGCCUCAAAACUCUU
rnacentral:piRNA from 1 species